rnacentral:rRNA from 1 species
GCGAAAUACGAUACGGGACUCAUCCGAGGCCCCGUAAUCGGAAUGAGUACACUCUAAACCCUUUAACGAGGAUCAAUUGGAGGGCAAGUCUGGUGCCAGCAGCCGCGGUAAUUCCAGCUCCAAUAGCGUAUAUUAAAGUUGUUGCGGUUAAAAAGCUCGUAGUCGAAUUUGUGUCCCGCACCGCCGGUUCAUCGCUCGCGGUGUCAACUGGCGUGCGGCGGGACGUCCUGCCGGUGGGCUUAGCCUUUUCGGGGCGGCCCAAUCUCAAUCCCACCGCGGUGCUCUUCAUUGAGUGUCGAGGUGGGCCGGCACGUUUACUUUGAACAAAUUAGAGUGCUUAAAGCAGGCUAAAAUUUCGCCUGAAUACUGUGUGCAUGGAAUAAUGGAAUAGGACCUCGGUUCUAUUUUGUUGGUUUUCGGAACCCCGAGGUAAUGAUUAAUAGGAACGGAUGGGGGCAUUCGUAUUGCGACGUUAGAGGUGAAAUUCUUGGAUCGUCGCAAGACGGACAGAAGCGAAAGCAUUUGCCAAAAACGUUUUCAUUGAUCAAGAACGAAAGUUAGAGGUUCGAAGGCGAUCAGAUACCGCCCUAGUUCUAACCAUAAACGAUGCCAGCUAGCGAUCCGCCGACGUUCCUCCGAUGACUCGGCGGGCAGCUUCCGGGAAACCAAAGCUUUUGGGUUCCGGGGGAAGUAUGGUUGCAAAGCUGAAACUUAAAGGAAUUGACGGAAGGGCACCACCAGGAGUGGAGCCUGCGGCUUAA